rnacentral:rRNA from 1 species
UACGUAGGGGGCAAGCGUUGUCCGGAUUCAUUGGGCGUAAAGAGCUUGUAGGCGGUUCGGCAAGUCGGGUGUGAAAACUCCAGGCUCAACCUGGGGACGCCACCCGAUACUGCUGUGACUUGAGUCCGGUAGGGGACCACGGAAUUCCUGGUGUAGCGGUGAAAUGCGCAGAUAUCAGGAAGAACACCAACGGCGAAGGCAGCUCGCUGGGACGGUACUGACGCUGAGACGCGAAAGCGUGGGGAGCGAACAGG